rnacentral:RNase_P_RNA from 1 species
GAAGCAAAACCAAAUAGAAAUCCUAUAAAGUUGCUCGCUUUGGAUUUGGGUAGGUUGCUAGAAUAUUAUGGCAACAUAAUAUCAAGAUAGAUGAUCAUCUUUUACAGAAUCCGGCUUACAAACCAACUCAUUUC